rnacentral:rRNA from 1 species
UACGUAGGGGGCAAGCGUUGUUCGGAAUUACUGGGCGUAAAGGGCGCGUAGGCGGUACAGCAAGUCGGGAGUGAAAGCCCGGGGCUCAACCCCGGAAUGGCUUUCGAAACUGCUGAGCUAGAGUACAGAAGGGGCAACCGGAAUUCCCAGUGUAGCGGUGAAAUGCGUAGAUAUUGGGAAGAACACCUGAGGCGAAGGCGGGUUGCUGGGCUGAUACUGACGCUGAGGAGCGAAAGCGUGGGGAGCGAACAGG